GAUUGUUAAAUGCAGAGAUAAAGAAGAAAAGUACAAUUUAAGAGGCCAUUCAUGGGAUACGAGUGUAAAUCAAAGAAUUGUUGCCUUGGAGUGGGAGUUUGGUAUUGAAUAUUAUUGUCUUGGAGCUUAAUGGGUUGGAGAAACGAUGAUUCUGGCGAAUCUGAAAUGGCUGAGCCAUCGUGACCCAACUCAAUGCCGCUAUCUCCGUGUAUGGAAACACCGUUGUUGCUGCUGUUGAUGCUACUGCCGAUGAUGACGCUCUCCAUGUGGCUGAAGAGAUUUCUCAAUGGCUUUAACUGUAGCCAUGUUUGGAGCUGCCCAAUUAUUUAAAGAAGGGGACAAAUUCGUCAUCUCACGUGGUUUGAAUGGCCAAAAUGGAUGGAAUACGAGUUUUGGUUAAUUUUCGAAAGGUUGAGAUUGUUUGGUGCCAAAAAAAGGUUGAGGUGGAUUAGUAACAUAUUGCAAAGAUCGGAAACAAAUAGUGCCAAUUUCACAAAAAAUAAUGGUUGUACAAGAAUACUUUUUGUUAUAUAAAAA
rnacentral:lncRNA from 1 species